rnacentral:tRNA from 1 species
GGAGAUGUGGCUCAGUAGUAGAGUGCUCGCCUAGCAUGCAGGAGGCUCUGGGUUGAAUCCCCAGCACCCCUU